rnacentral:rRNA from 1 species
UACGAAGGGGCUAGCGUUGCUCGGAAUCACUGGGCGUAAAGCGCACGUAGGCGGCUUCUUAAGUCAGGGGUGAAAUCCUGGAGCUCAACUCCAGAACUGCCCUUGAUACUGAGAGGCUCGAGUCCGGGAGAGGUGAGUGGAACUCCGAGUGUAGAGGUGAAAUUCGUAGAUAUUCGGAAGAACACCAGUGGCGAAGGCGGCUCACUGGCCCGGUACUGACGCUGAGGUGCGAAAGCGUGGGGAGCAAACAGG